GUUCGAGAGAACUAGACUAUUGUCUUGCGUUCCCUUGAGGAUUAAGAACAAUACGAGAACGCUACGAAAACGGUACAGUGUAAACGCUGCCUAAAUUAUCCCAAGCGUGCACUGAUAUUAAUUAGUUUUCUGCAUUACAAAUAACUUUGUGUUAUUCUAAUUUCUAUAAUUAGAAUGUGUUUUCAAAUCCCAGGAGCAAAAUAAGUAGCACAG